UACAGAGGGUGCGAGCGUUACUCGGAAUUACUGGGCGUAAAGCGCGCGUAGGCGGCUUUGCAAGCCGGAUGUGAAAUCCCCGGGCUUAACCUGGGAACUGCAUUCGGGACUGCAUGGCUAGAGUAUGGGAGAGGGAAGUGGAAUUUCAGGUGUAGCGGUGAAAUGCGUAGAUAUCUGGAGGAACACCGGUGGCGAAGGCGGCAUCCUGGACCGACACUGACGCUGAGGCGCGAAAGCUAGGGUAGCAAACGGG
rnacentral:rRNA from 1 species